GAGAAGGCGGGCGGGGCCUCCGUCAGCUCCGCGGUGAGGGGCGGCCAAGAUGGCGGCCGUGGGGGGGCCGGUGGAUGCGGUGCUGCCCGGUUCCCGUUUCCGCGUUCAACGCCGCCACCCCCCACUGGGAAGCAUGGGAACUUGAAAGCCACGUGACAGCAUCACCUGGCACCACUUAGCACGGCUCUCCCAGAGAGCAUGUAAGCCUCAUCCUCACUGCUCUGUACCCAGAAAACACUGUCAGACAAAUGACAGGAUUAAUGAGAUUCUGCGUUGUUUCCUG